rnacentral:rRNA from 1 species
UACGUAGGGGGCAAGCGUUGUCCGGAAUCAUUGGGCGUAAAGAGCGUGUAGGCGGCUCGGUAAGUCCGCUGUGAAAGUCCAGGGCUCAACCCUGGAAUGCCGGUGGAAACUGUCGAGCUAGAGUCCGGAAGAGGCGAGUGGAAUUCCUGGUGUAGCGGUGAAAUGCGCAGAUAUCAGGAGGAACACCGGUGGCGAAGGCGGCAUCCUGGACCAAUUCUGACGCUGAGGAGCGAAAGCCAGGGGAGCAAACGGG